rfam:Vigna angularis cultivar Jingnong 6 chromosome 11, whole genome shotgun sequence.
UUCAGGUACCGAUGUUGGGACGGUUCAAUCAAAUCAAAUCUCCUAAUCAAUCGGUCCUUUGCUCUGAUUGAGUCGUGCCAAUAUCGUACUAAACAUA